rnacentral:pre_miRNA from 1 species
GUAGUACUCCCUCCGUCCCAAAAUUCUUGUCUUACAUUUGUUUAGAUACGGAUGUAUCUAACACUAAAAUGUAACUAGAUACAUCCAUAUUUAGACAAAUUUAAGACAAGAAUUUUCGGACGGAGGGAGUACAAA